GAAAAGUUUGUUUUUUCAGGUUCCGUUGCGGAUUGAAAGGGAAUGCCGUGAAAACCGGCAGCGAUCCCGUCACUGUAACGGGCAAUGACCUCGGCCAUUUAUGCCACUAGCCCGAUUAAUCCCGGGCCGGGAAGGCGGCCGCAGCGAGCCCGGAGCCAGGAGACCUGCCUGAAAAUUAAAAAUCCU
rnacentral:ncRNA from 2 species